AUCAGGAAGCCCGCUCAGCUGCAGCCCCCCAGGGAAGGACCGGUGGUUUCAUGGAAAUGUUUCGUUGUCAUCGGGGGUUGUUUCCCGUCGCAUUAAUUUCCGACGAACAAAGGCUCGGAGAGAGGUCACCAGAAGCAAAUGGCCUGGAUUGACAGAUGCCUGCUCAACUACAAGGAUGAAGAUGAGAAGACAGACAUCGGGGGAAACAGAGGGUUGGUCUCAGGAUCAUGAAGAGAUCAUAGGACAGGAUCCAUAUCUUCGAUUCCGCGGCCACCGGCUGCCAGUCAUUUUAUUACCGGAUGACUCGGGGGCUCAAUACUGUCCAUCUGCAAUGGUGAACAUUGACCUAAUUGAGUUCCUUCCAACGCCCUGCACAAAGUCAACCAUUUCCUCCAGAACACAUUUUUUUCCUGUGUGUGUGUGUCUGUGUGGAAAUGGACUUGGUUUCCCAUAGCUGAUAGAUAAAUGGACAAAAAAGGUCUGACUAGUGCAAUAAUUACUGAACAAUGAUUCUACUCUGCUGAUAAUCAAUAAAAAACACACACAGGAACA
rnacentral:lncRNA from 1 species